CUAAUAGCCAUACCAUAAGUACAUUUAAAAUUCCCCGGGAAAAGAUCCAAAGAAAACCGCUCCAUCUUAACCGGUAACUUUUACAUAGUUUAUCUGACUGAAACGACCUGAUAAACCAACGGCGAAAGAUAUUGUUUUAACAACUUACUAGAAAGGAUACCAAAAAAGUAAACUAGGAAAUUAAGCCUUUUUUGAAGCCUAACAAGCAUCCCUUAAAAGAACAGUAUGAUGCAGUUUUGUAGUCGGUUCCUGAUGAAGAAUCCUAAACCUUUCGUGGUGAUGGCUCUAGCACUACUUAUUUUUAUAUUGAUAUAUGCAAAUCUUAACAUGUCUACUAAGUUCUGGAAAGAAAGAACCAUGUCCCGUAAUUUAGUGUUUGUGUACGGCUCCCUUAAGCAGACCCAGCCCAAUCAUCACUGGUUGACAGACAAGGAAAACGGAGAGGCUCGUUUGCGGGGACUUGCCACAACCCAAGAAAGAUAUCCUCUUGUGGUCGCAUCACGCUAUAAUAUUCCUUAUGUGCUUGCUUCUCCUGGCAAAGGAAAGCAAAUUGAAGGCGAAUUAUAUGAAGUCGAUGACCAAAUGCUGGCUAAACUUGACAUAUUAGAAGUACAUCCAAAAUAUUACGAAAGAAAGGUCUACUUUUACUAAUUGAUAUAUCAAGACUAGACCACAGCAUACAAGUUGAUGCAGAGAAUUUGUAAUUACAACAAAUUUAUGAAAAAAAUGUGAAAGGCUCCUAGUUUUUUUUAUGUUGGAAGUAGUAGAUAAGGCUAGAACUCUUUUUUGAUAGUGUGAUAUUUAGAUAGAUAUUGAUAAUGGAAGGUGUGUACUAUGUGGUCAUAGACUGAUACAGAAAACAUGUAGUUAUUCCUGAUUGAAAUAGAUGAUAUAUUGCCGUUCGCUUCGAGGAAAGAUCCUCUUGUUGACAGAAUGAAUAUAAAAGUAACCUCUGAUGAUAUAAGUUACAAUGUAAUAAGUGAUACUAGACAGCACAGGCAUCAAUAAUAGACCAGUAAUGAUAAACAAAUUUUGAAGAGAAUAAAUGCUGCAAGAUAACUGAUAGAUGUUGAUUUUGCCAUUCACCUGUGCUCAGUGACAGGAGCAAGAUAGUGCCUCAGAACAUUUGAAACAACCAGGUCACUGAGAUACAUUAAAGAAUCAUUGAAUAAGGGUGAAGACUGUGGCAGAAGCAUAUUUUCAAAAAUGGGUAAAAGCAAGGAUAGGAUCUAUCCCACGUCAGCUGCAACACUAUACUAGCAAAAUGAGCAGUAGAAGGCAGUCAGUGUGAUUGUCCUCUAAAGCUCAAAGAAUCAAAAUGAUAAAAGCAAGCAUACAGGAAUCUAAGGAAGUAGUUGACUGUUGGAUCUACUUGCUGCACCACUUCAGACCAGAACUAUUAAAGCUGCCUCACCUGUCUACCUACUUCUCAAAGGGAGACUUUGUGCCAAGACAUU
rnacentral:misc_RNA from 1 species